rnacentral:lncRNA from 1 species
GUGGCAUGACUUUAGUCGAUGGGACAACACAAAUGUUACAAAGCUUGAUGAAGCACUGAUAUAUUUCUUUCUCCUUUCUCAGACCCUGCUAAAUUUGGAGGGCACUUCAUUACACAGCAAUGGCUAACUGAUAUACCAGGUAUUUUUAUGUCCCUGGGAUUUUGGGAGACCUGUACAGAUUCCAUCUAAACAAACAUGACAGAACAUUGCUGAAUCUGAAGAUUUAUGUCAAAUUAAUGAAAGAUUGAAGAGCAGCUCAUGGAUGACAUCUAAUUCCUAUAUUUUCU